ensembl:lncRNA
AUCGCACAUCUGGCUUCAGCCAAUCAGGAUAUUUCUGCUGAUGAUUUUGCACCAUGAUAAGCAAGCCUGGACAUGUUUGAGAACAUGAUGUCAAAUAUAGGUAUGUAUCUCACUUUCAGUCGCACUUUCUCACUCUCUUCUCCCUCAUUUCCUUCAGCUCUCUCUCUCUCCUCGUGUCCUCUGUGUGAUGUAAUGUAAAACAGAAAUGGUGUCGACUCUUUGACCUUGCCUUAAAUCUUCAGACUGAGAACGAGAGAGGCCUGUUUGUUCUGACUGACAUCAUGUCUUAACCCCACAUGGCUCCACUUCAACCAAGUUCCUCCUCACGCACCUCCUGAGGAGCAACACACACACAGUGCCGCAGUCUUUGUCUGACUGCUGUGAAAGUCCGAUGGCUCAGGAAUACUAAUCCCACUCGCAUGUCAUUUGGACGGACCAGAGGAGCAGCUAAUGGGGCAGGCGAGAUGAGGAGGAGACACUGUCGAUGGCUGUGUGGCAGUGUGUGUGAGUGGCAGAGUCCUCCCAGCCACAGAGAUAAAGAUUAGCAAAGGCCGAGCUGAACACAGAGGUCCAUUUACUGCACAUGGCACUGCACAUCAUCCCGCUACUGCUGCCAGUGAAAAACAGGUAAUUCUUCACUACUCUUUAUUAAUAUUUAUGCAUUCAUAUCCCUCCAAAAUUGUUAGACCUCAAUUUGGAAUGCUUUUCUCUGUUUCGUUCUCCCAAUUUCAGCCA